AGAUUGAACGCUGGCGGCAGGCUAACACAUGCAAGUCGAGCGGUAGAGAGAAGCUUGCUUCUCUUGAGAGCGGCGGACGGGUGAGUAAUGCCUAGGAAUCUGCCUAGUGGUGGGGGAUAACGUUCGGAAACGGACGCUAAUACCGCAUACGUCCUACGGGAGAAAGCGGGGGACCUUCGGGCCUCGCGCCAUUAGAUGAGCCUAGGUCGGAUUAGCUAGUUGGUGAGGUAAA
rnacentral:rRNA from 1 species